rnacentral:rRNA from 1 species
UACAGAGGUCUCGAGCGUUAGGCGGAAUCACUGGGCUUAAAGCGUGUGUAGGCGGAUCGGUAAGUACCUUGUGAAAUCCCACAGCUUAACCGUGGAACUGCUUGGUAUACUGCCAGUCUUGAGCCAGCUAGGGGCUACCGGAACAAAUGGUGGAGCGGUGAAAUGCGUAGAUAUCAUUUGGAACGCCAAUGGUGAAAACAGGUAGCUGGGGCUGUGCUGACGCUGAGACACGAAAGCCAGGGGAGCAAACGGG